AGCGAACGCUGGCGGCAGGCCUAAUACAUGCAAGUCGAGCGGUCCCUUCGGGGGCAGCGGCGGACGGGUGAGUAACGCGUGGGAACGUGCCCUUUGGUACGGAACAACUGAGGGAAACUUCAGCUAAUACCGUAUGUGCCCUUCGGGGGGAAAGAUUUAUCGCCAUUGGAGCGGCCCGCGUUGGAUUAGGUAGUUGGUGA
rnacentral:rRNA from 1 species